UACGGGGGGGGCAAGCGUUGUUCGGAAUUACUGGGCGUAAAGGGCUCGUAGGCGGCCAACUAAGUCGGAUGUGAAAUCCCCAGGCUUAACCUGGGAACUGCAUCCGAUACUGGAUGGCUUGAAUCCGGGAGAGGGAUGCAGAAUUCCAGGUGUAGCGGUGAAAUGCGCAGAUAUCGGGAGGAACACCAGUGGCGAAGGCGGCACUCUGGGCCGGAACUGACGCUGGAGGAGCGAAAGCGUGGGGAGCGAACAGG
rnacentral:rRNA from 1 species